UGCAGCAUAGGGAUGGAAACCUCAGCACAACUCUUGAUCUCAUCAGUUUCUCUGUUUUGUUCCCAGUGUUCAAAGAUGUGGCCAAGGCAGAUCACACAUCUUUAAAUGAGUUUAAAUAAGGAUUUCCUUGAGAGGUGUUCAGCUGAGAAGUUUGGUAAGAGGCUAGGGUGGACUUUACCCUCAUGAAGUGAUGUCAGUGAGCUGUGCUAGUACAUCUGCUGCCUUUCUUCUCCCCUGGGGAGGAUUAGCUUUGUCUCCUGCUGCUGGAAAUGAAGCCAUUGAAAUGAUGGAGUUCAUAAUGCGUGAACCUACCACACACCCUUCUGUCCCCAGAGCCUCUCCAAGGAAUUAAAAUUCAG
rnacentral:lncRNA from 1 species